GAAGAACCUUACCAGCUUUUGACAUGUCUCGUUUGGUUACUAGAGAUGGUUUCCUUCAGUUCGGCUGGCGAGAACACAGGUGCUGCAUGGCUGUCCUCAGCUCGUGUCGUGAGAUGUUGGGUUAAGUCCCGCAACGAGCGCAACCCCCGCCUCUAGUUGCCAUCAUUUAGUUGGGCACUCCAGAGGGACUGCCGGUGAUAAGCCGGAGGAAGGUGGGGAUGACGUCAAGUCCUCAUGGCCCUUACAGGCUGGGCUGCACACGUGCUACAAUGGCGGUGACAGUGGGAUGCAGAGGGGCGACCCCGCGCAAAUCUCAAAAAGCCGUCUCAGUUCGGAUUGUACUCUGCAACUCGAGUGCAUGAAGGUGGAAUCGCUAGUAAUCGUAGAUCAGAACGCUACGGUGAAUACGUUCCCGGGUCUUGUACACACGC
rnacentral:rRNA from 1 species